ACGUAGGGGGCGAGCGUUGUCCGGAUUCAUUGGGCGUAAAGAGCUCGUAGGCGGCUUGGCAAGUCGGGUGUGAAAACUCCAGGCUCAACCUGGAGAUGCCACCCGAUACUGCUAUGGCUUGAGUUCGGUAGGGGACCACGGAAUUCCUGGUGUAGCGGUGAAAUGCGCAGAUAUCAGGAGGAACACCGGUGGCGAAGGCGGUGGUCUGGGCCGACACUGACGCUGAGGAGCGAAAGCGUGGGGAGCGAACAGGA
rnacentral:rRNA from 1 species